rnacentral:rRNA from 1 species
UGAGGAAUAUUGGUCAAUGGGCGCGAGCCUGAACCAGCCAAGUAGCGUGAAGGAUGAAGGUCCUAUGGAUUGUAAACUUCUUUUAUACGGGAAUAAAGUGGUCCACGUGUGGGCUUUUGCAUGUACCGUAUGAAUAAGCAUCGGCUAACUCCGUGCCAGCAGCCGCGGUAAUACGGAGGAUGCGAGCGUUAUCCGGAUUUAUUGGGUUUAAAGGGAGCGCAGACGGGGGAUUAAGUCAGUUGUGAAAGUUUGCGGCUCAACCGUAAAAUUGCAGUUGAUACUGGUUCCCUUGAGUGCAGUUGAGGCAGGCGGAAUUCGUGGUGUAGCGGUGAAAUGCAUAGAUAUCACGAAGAACCCCGAUUGCGAAGGCAGCCUGCUAAGCUGUAACUGACGUUGAGGCUCGAAAGUGUGGGUAUCAAACAGGAUUAGAUACCCUGGUAGUCCACACGGUAAACGAUGGAUACUCGCUGUUGGCGAUAUACUGUCAGCGGCCAAGCGAAAGCAUUAAGUAUCCCACCUGGGGAGUACGCCGGCAACGGUGAAACUCAAAGGAAUUGACGGGGGCCCGCACAAGCGGAGGAACAUGUGGUUUAAUUCGAUGAUACGCGAGGAACCUUACCCGGGCUUAAAUUGCAGACGAAUUACCUGGAAACAGGUAAGCCGCAAGGCGUCUGUGAAGGUGCUGCAUGGUUGUCGUCAGCUCGUGCCGUGAGGUGUCGGCUUAAGUGCCAUAACGAGCGCAACCCUCGUGGCCAGUUACUAGCAGGUAACGCUGAGGACUCUGGCCAGACUGCCAUCGUAAGAUGCGAGGAAGGUGGGGAUGACGUCAAAUCAGCACGGCCCUUACGUCCGGGGCUACACACGUGUUACAAUGGGAGGUACAGAAGGCAGCUACCCGGCGACGGGAUGCCAAUCUCCAAAGCCUCUCUCAGUUCGGACUGGAGUCUGCAACCCGACUCCACGAAGCUGGAUUCGCUAGUAAUCGCGCAUCAGCCACGGCGCGGUGAAUACGUUCCC